UUACUAUUUAUUUUCUAUUUGGACUAUUAGUUAUAUUGUAUUUGGAUUAUUAUUUAUAUUUCUGUUAUUGGGCUUGUUUAGCGGGUUUGGCCCAAGCCCUUCUCUUUAGGAUUUUUAUUUUGUUAUUUAUUUCUGUUUUGUUGCGUAUUUGAGACAGUUGAUGAAUUGAUGAAUUAAAGAAUAGAAUGCUUGGGUUAUUGCC
rnacentral:lncRNA from 1 species